rnacentral:lncRNA from 1 species
CCCCAUUUUUUUCCCGGUUUUUUCCCCAGGCCAAGCUGCACCCGGUGAAGCUGGAGCGGCUCCCGGAGUCCAGCCCGGCCGCCCGGAUCCUCUCGGUGGAGCCCACGCUCCAGGCUUCCUUCGCCCUCCACGAGGACGCCAACCCCAGCUCCCGCCGGCGCGGCCUGAAGCGAUUCCCCGAGAACCCCGAAGCUUUUUGGGGUCCCAAGGCCAGGGCCAAGCCCGGGGGGGGCAUCGCCCCCUCCCUGCAGGAGAAGAGGGAGAGGCUCCAGAACAAGAGGAGGCAGCGCCAGGACGGGGCCGGGCUCAAACAAUUCCCCUGCAAACGCUUCAAGGAGGUGGGCAGGGGUCCCCAAAUAUGGGGAGGGGUCCCCAAAAUAUCGUGAGGGGUCCUAAAAUAUGGGGAGGGGUCCCAGAACAACGAGAGGUCCCCUAAAAUAGGGAAGGGGGUGUGGGAAUAAAGGAGGAAUAAAGGGGGUCCA